CAAAUUCAAACAUUAGAAUAUGACCUUGACCGUUGACCUUGACCUAAUUUUCAUUUUUUUGGACCAAGGACCUCAAAUCAAAAGAUCCUAGGUCUCUAUCACUUAUGGUGUUCCAGUUUAAAAUACAUUUCAAAAUUUCAAAUACAAAAAGGGAAAUAACUCUCAUAUGGAGCAUUCAUAUUGCUUCGGUCGAAAUUGGACAAAUCAUGCGAAGGAUAUAACGAGCAAUUUUAUAAAAUAAAUUUGUCGUAAUCUUUUACGGUUGCGAAGGAGUUGUGAUCACAAGGAAAACAGUGUUUGGGGAGAUAACUCCUACAAAGAAAAGUAUUCGGUUACGCAGGGUAAAUUUCAAAAGCGCAUAAACUGUUCAAUAUCAUAUACCAAAUAUCUAAGCGACAUAUUGCGAAACAAAUGUUUAUCGCAAGAACAAAAUUUGGCGGAAGAAAAAAAAAUAAUCAGAAGAAAAACAAUAGGUCUUUCCACAGAAAAGUGGAAAGACCUAAUAAUAAUAAUCAGAAC
rnacentral:lncRNA from 1 species